UGUUAGUCAUACAGCUACCUGGAGAGAAGAAGUGUAUGCAUAAAUGCUAAAUGGCCCGGGAAACCACUUUGGAGUUUUCUCAGGCUCAGAUCCUCAUUUUCUCUUGCAUGGUCAUCCCUAGUAUAGCCCUCGAAAACAAGGCAGCCAUUUUCUCUGAAGCUGUUAUACUCAGCAAACCAGAUAGAAAAGCUUGAUAAAGCCACAGCUCUCUUCCGUGCCUGCAGCAAUCCGAGGGGAAAAACAAUCAACCACAAACAGAUAUAGCAACAAUUUGUGUCUGGACUCCAGGAGAGUGGAAUGAUGACAAGAAAACCAUCAGGGAUGGCAUUUAUGUCCAGAUAAAGAAAGUGAGGGGCCAGAGGUCGUGACCUGCCAAGGAUCGCAGUUUAAGUGGUAUCACCUGGAUCUAACCCCUAGAUCUCCUGAAGUUAAGUCCAGUACUCUCAGUACCCCAAACGUGGGCAAAGUGAGAAGAUCGAACCCCAAAGGGUUCUAACAAUCUAAGCAUCCCCUCAUUUUCCUUACAUGUUGGCUCAAACUGAGUGAUGGGAGCAAAUAACAUGUAAAGAAGGGAAAUAUUCUAGAGAAGAUGGUCUGCUGUUUAUUGCUGGCAGUGAAUGGGAUGGAUUGGGGAAAUUCUUUUAUCAAUCAAUCAAGUAUUUAUUUAUUAAUUAAGCAGGCUAGAUUAGAAUAAUGAA